UGACCUUGGUUCAGUCUUAUCAAACUUAUCUAGAUUUUUACAUCACCCCUCAUAUCUCUUCUUCUUUUGCCACCCUUAAAUUCCAACUAUCACUCGUAUCUCCG